GCUUCGGUGCCCUAAUGGUUAGAGCGUCGGCCUCCUAUGCGGGAUGUCGUGGGUUCGAUCCCCGGUCGAGUCC